GGAUGCAAUCGCCUUGAUGUCAACUCAGACAAUAUUGAAGUCAUCAACACAAUGAAGAAUGGAGGACAAUCAGCGGGAGCGGCGGCGGCGGUCUUUGAUGAUUGCUAUUUUUUGGCUUGUGAUUUUCCUCUUACUAGGUUUGAACAUUGUAAUAGGGAGGCAAAUAAGGUGGCUCAUGAACUAGCUAGAUUAGCGAAAAUUUCCGUGACAAAUGACUAUUUUGAGGAACCCAUGGAUGAAUUUUACCUCUUCUUAUGGAUGAUGUAA
rnacentral:rRNA from 1 species